AUACUCUGAUUUCUCUUCAGAUAGUAUAAAUUUUUUGACUUUUACUAAGGAUUUCUGUGGAGAGGAACAACUAUGUGUCUUAACCCAAUUUUUUGAGGUCCUGCUUAUGAAGGACU